rnacentral:rRNA from 1 species
UACGAAGGGUGCAAACGUUGCUCGGAAUUAUUGGGCGUAAAGCGCACGUAGGCGGCUUUUCAAGUCCCAUGUGAAAGCCCACGGCUUAACCGUGGAAGUGCAUGGGAAACUGGAGAGCUUGAGUACUUAAGAGGAUCGCGGAAUUCCCGGUGUAGAGGUGAAAUUCGUAGAUAUUCGCAGGAACACCAGUGGCGAAGGCGGCUCACUGGUCCGAUACUGACGCUGAGGUGCGAAAGCGUGGGGAGCAAACAGG